GCCAGGUGUGGUGGUGCAUAUUUGUAAUCCCAGCAGCUGGGGAGGCUGAGGUAGGAGGAUCACUAGUUCAAAGCCAGCCUCAGCAAAAGUGAGGCACUAAGCAACUCAGUGAGACCCUGUCUCUA
rnacentral:sRNA from 1 species